rnacentral:lncRNA from 1 species
GCAGAAGAGUUAUCUCCAUCCAGAGGUGGCAAAGCCUUCAGGGUUCGACUCACAUUGUCUGUUCUCAAGGGACUCACACACACAAGCUAGACUGCCGAUUUGUUAAUUUGACAGAGAACUGAGACUGUCAGGAGGCUGCGCUGGUCAGCACGUCCUCUCCUUCUCGAAGCAAAGCCCCUGGGGAAGCCAGGCACCAGCAGAAGGCUGCUCCGUGAAGUCACAGCCCAGCGAACCACAGGCUCUUCCCGGCGAGAGGCAGGAAGCUGGCAAGCCAGAGCGCACAGCCCCUCAGGCCUGGGGGCCGGUCUCCUGGACAGAGGACGCCCGCCCUCCAACAUUCUCACACUUCGGAUGCUCCUGUUGUAGAAUCAACGCAUUCGACUAAAACAAUGACUGAUGACAAGUACUGCUCUAGGUCCUGGGAAUAGAAGAUAACCCAAGUCGUCCAGCAGCUUCCUGUUGAGUCGGAGAGCAUGAGUGCAAAGAAUCACCAUUUGGGCAAGUUAGCAAAUCAGUCCACCGGUUACAGAAGUGUCACUCAAAGUGGAAUCCACGGGUGCAUGCUCUGGGAUAGGAUACUUCUCUAUGGAGACUUUUUCCCCUGUGUUUUCAUCGCAGUGAUAAUCUAAGAAAAACAGCAUAGGAGCAUAUGCUAUUUCCUUGGGAUGGCCACCUUGUAAGUGAGAGCUGCGGAACCAAAUCACGUACAGCACGAGACAGCAAAGGCCGGCCCAACACAGAGGCUGCUCUGCGGGCCACAGUAGGAGGGCCACCUGGGUCAGAGAAAAGAUGUGAGAUUUGAAAGUCAACCGCAAUGAUGUUGACGGGCAUUAGAAAUCAAUUCUCGACCAUGGCCGUUCAGACUGCUUAUUCCUGACAGCUAAAGACUAAAUCUGAAUCUUGACCGCAUUCCCAGAAUCGCCUUUCCCUCCUGCAUGGAAAGGAGGAGAUUCCUCUGUAAUGAAGACAUACGUUUGAAGUCAUAAGGCUCUAAUUGAAAGUACGUGCCUUAAGACAUCACAUUAAAGCUUAGAUUACUCCUAAGAUUGCUUUAGAAUGCAGACAUAUUAAAGGCUCAGAAAGCUGUCAACUUACAUGACUCCCGUUCCUGAGUUUGAGGCAGCGAUCUUCCUGUGUUCA